AAAAAAAAAGGUUUGAGGCCGAAAGGUGUUCCAGGGAGAAAGAGCAGGUGCAAAGGUGAGGGGUUCCAAGAAAGCAAAGUCCAGGGCCCUCAGGUGGAGACUCCCAGGGGCCUGGACCCUGAGGUCCGAGAGGUGGACCGGUGGGAGCGGGAGCCAACAAGCGCAGCACAGGGGAAAGGCCUGUUUGCCCAGGAAUCGGUAAGGAAUCUGGAAGGCUCUCCAAAGUGCCCGGGGCACCACUGAGUAACUGCAACGACCCUGGGAUCCCCCACCGAGCAGUGACUGGCCUCUCACCAGGGCAGCCCCCAAGUUUCCAAGAAACUCGUGUCCCGGACUGUAAUCCCCUGGUUUCUCCCCUGGUGGAAACACCCAGACAGACAAGGGCUGCCCAGAGGAGGAGCUGGGUAUAAUGCCCUUGGGACAAGGCCCGGCACCCGGUGGGAUCUCAAGACACCAGUCGGAACAGGUUAGGGCCCGUCCCAAUGACCUCAUUUCAACGCGAUCACCUCUGUAACAGCCUUAGCUGCAAGUGCGGUACUGAGGCGCUGGGACUUAGAGCUUCAACAUUCCAGUUUGGGGAGUACACCGUUCAGCCCAUCACCGCUGGAGCUCAGAAAACAUCCUUAUUUAGUUGAGUUCAACAAAUGCCUUCCCUACGCCAGCAGUGUAACCUAGUCUCUUAGCAUGUGUUAA